rnacentral:rRNA from 1 species
GGAAGGAUCAUUACCGAAUUGUCGACAAGAGUUGUUGCUGGUCCUUGAACGGGGGCAUGUGCACGCUCUGUUAACACAUCCACUCACACCCUGUGCACCCUCUGUAGUUCUGUGGCUGGGGGGCCUCGUCCUCCUGCUGUGGUUCUGCAUCUUUACACACACACUGUAACAAAGUCUUAUGGAAUGCAUCUGCGUUUAACGCAAUACAAUACAACUUUCAGCAACGGAUCUCUUGGCUCUCGCAUCGAUGAAGAACGCAGCGAAAUGCGAUAAGUAAUGUGAAUUGCAGAAUUCAGUGAAUCAUCGAAUCUUUGAACGCACCUUGCGCCCUUUGGCCAUUCCGAAGGGCAUGCCUGUUUGAGUAUCAUGAACACCUCAACUCUUCAUGGUUUUCUGUGAUGAGCUUGGACUUUGGGGGUUUUGCUGGCCUAUGGUUGGCUCCUCUAAAAUGAAUCAGCUUUCCAGUGUUUGGUGGGCGUCACAGGUGUGAUAACUAUCUACGCUUGUGGUUUUCUCACCAGGUAACCUUCAGCAGUGGAGGUUCGCUGGAGCUCAUAGAUGUCACUCCUCAGUGAGGACAACCCUUUGAAUGUUUGAUCUCAAAUCAGGUAGGACUACCCGCUGAACUUAA